UAUUAUUGGUUGUUCAAAACAUUACAAAUUUCUUGAUAUAUCAUAUUUCACACUUUGAUUCAAGUGGGUUAUGAACUCCCAUUUUUACCCCAUAUACAGAUUGCAGAAGGGAUAUUGAUCUUGACCUUGUUUGUCCCCACAUCAUCCCAAACCCAGAACCUAUGGAUAUAUUGAUAAAACCAUGGAGGGAGUGAAGGGACCACUUGAGCAUGCUUAGGUUUUCCAUCACGGUUAUUGAUGUACUCAUUACCAAUUUUGACAUCUUUGUAUUCAUUCGCACUUCACCUUUUAGAAAUCUCAUUCUGCUACAUCUCUAUUUGGUCCUUUAAAAAGGAGAUAUUGUAUUGCAUACUUGAUUUUACAGGACACUGAGGUUCUAGAAGUUAAGUGAUCUAUCCAAGUAUUUAUGGUCCCAGAGCUACUGACUCUGUACUUCCUUCUCUCAGGUUCUCCAGGCUGCAGACCUGAGCACGCUGCUCUGAUAGCAGGUCAGAGCUUCUCUGUUUUCUGGGGAAACCCAGCCUGGGGGCCUUCCCAGUGUGCUCAGCUGGAAUAGCAGUAGGCAAGAAUCAGCAGAUGUCUUCUUUAGGGCUGCUGUGCACGCCUAAGCCCUCAUUUCCUUAGCUCCUCAUGCCGAAUCUGUUUAAAUACCUCUGACUCCCCAGAAGACAGAGGAUAUUGAGCUCUUUGUUUAUUAACUCCUGGAACUCAUAAACCCAACAAGGGCCAGCAGUGCGCUGAGCUGCUAGCCCCAGCCUGGGAGCAUUUCAGAACCUACUUCUGAGUCAAAAACCAAAAACCUCGGUCCACUGAGGGUAGAUCGUCUGCCUGCAGAAUCACCAUCACCAGCAAUUGCCUUAGCUAAUGGAUAAACAGUCUGUCUCUACUGGCUAAGAAUGGAAAGGAGAGGGGGCUGGGAAGGGGGGAAGAAAUUACCUCUCUGUGUUCUCUACAGUAAACCUAACUUGGACUGAAG
rnacentral:lncRNA from 1 species